rnacentral:rRNA from 1 species
UACGAAGGGGGCUAGCGUUGCUCGGAAUCACUGGGCGUAAAGGGUGCGUAGGCGGGUCUUAAGUCAGGGGUGAAAUCCUGGAGCUCAACUCCAGAACUGCCUUUGAUACUGAAGAUCUUGAGUUCGGGGAGAGGUGAGUGGAACUGCGAGUGUAGAGGUGAAAAUUCGUAGAUAUUCGCAAGAACACCAGUGGCGAAGGCGGCUCACUGGACCGGUAUUGACGCUG